rnacentral:lncRNA from 1 species
CACGUUUUGGAGACGAGACUUGCUCUUGAAUCUUGACCACAGGCACAUACGCGUCAUCGGUGGUAGCUCUGUUGCCAUCUGAAUACAAAGGACGCUCCUCUUGGUGAAAGGUCGCAGCAAAUGGUUUCUCAGAGUCAUCAGCCAACGCUCUUCUUGGUGAAAGGUCGCAGCAAAUGGUUUCUCAGAGUCAUCAGCCUUCGGUGACUUAAACGCAAAAUAUUCGUCACCACUGUUAGACUCUGCCGAAUGAAAC